UCACUUAAUUGAGUUCCUGCUAAACAAAACCGUAGCAGUGGUGCCACAAAAUUGGUACAGUGAUGGAGUUACCUGCUGGCCAAACUACAAAAAUGAUGAGAGCGUGAACAGGGCAGUGAAAAAUUCUGAGGAACCUGGACCUGACUGGAAAAAAUAUGAUGCCAGAGUUAUUAAAUCAUGUGAUGACUACUUUGUGGCACGACAACUUUUGAAGAAAGCUCUAAAGUGCAACACAUCAGAUCUACAGUCUGAAGAGGAAGAGGAGGAGAUUCGGCCAAAAAGAAGGCCAAAGCCGAUUCAUUUCUUGGGAGACUCUGAUGAGAGCGAGGAGGAAGAUGCUCAUAAAAAGAGAGGCAAACUUUAAACACAAACAUCAGCUCCUGUUAUCGCACCACCACCUUUUAUCCUAGGUAGCGGCACAGCUGCUCCACCUCCACCCAUUUCUCCACCUCCACCCAUUUCACAGCCUCAUUGUUCACAGAGACCAGCAGAAGAGCAAACCCCUUCUGCAAGCAGGGUCUACAGA